rnacentral:rRNA from 1 species
ACGCUCGACACCUACGGGAGGCAGCAGUGGGAAUAUUGCACAAUGGGGAAACCCUGAUGCAGCGAUGCCGCGUGAAGGAAGAAGUAUCUCGGUAUGUAAACUUCUAUCAGCAGGGAANAAAAUGACGGUACCUGACUAAGAAGCCCCGGCUAACUACGUGCCAGCAGCCACGGUAAUCUGAGCGGGCUGGCAAGGC